rnacentral:rRNA from 1 species
AUUGAACGCUGGCGGCUGGCCUAACACAUGCAAGUCGAGCGGAGCGGCGGACGGGUGAGUAAUGCCUAGGAAUCUGCCUGGUAGUGGGGGAUAACGUCCGGAAACGGGCGCUCAUACCGCAUACUAUCAGAUGAGCCUAGGUCGGAUUAGCUAGUUGGUGGGGUAACGGCCUACCAAGGCGACGAUCCGUAACUGGUCUGAGAGGAUGAUCAGUCACAUGGUAACGGAGACACGGUCCAGACUCAUACGGGAGGCAGCAGUGGGGAAUAUUGGACAAGGGGCGAAGACCUGAUCCAGCCAGGCCGCGUGGGGGAAGCAGGUCUUCGGAUUGUAAAGCACUUUAAGUUGGGAGGCGUUACCAACAGAAUAAGCACCGGCUAACUUCGUGCCAGCAGCCGCGGUAAUUC